rnacentral:rRNA from 1 species
GACGAACGCUGGCGGCAGGCCUAACACAUGCAAGUCGAACGAGUGGCGGACGGGUGAGUAAUGUCUGGGAAACUGCCCGAUGGAGGGGGGUAACUACUGGAAACGGUAGCUAAUACCGCAUACCAUCGGAUGUGCCCAGAUGGGAUUAGCUAGUAGGUGGGGUAACGGCUCACCGAGGCGACGAUCCCUAGCUGGUCUGCGAGGAUGACCAGCCAGACUGGAACUGAGACACGGUCCAGACUCCUACGGUAGGCAGCAGUGGGGAAUAUUGCACAAUGGGCGCAAGCCUUAUGCAGCCAUGCCGCGUGUAUGAAGAAGGUCUUCGGGUGGUAAAGUACUUUCAGCGAGGAGGCGUUACUCGCAGAAGAAGCACCGGCUAACUCCGUGACAGCAGCCGCGGUAAUUC